rnacentral:piRNA from 1 species
UUAUACCCUGACUAGAGAUAGUUUACACCU